rnacentral:rRNA from 1 species
AAAGGUAAGCUAUUAAGAGCGAAUGGUGGAUGCCUUGGCUGGUAAAGGCGAUGAAGGACGUACUAGACUGCGAUAAGCUACGGGGAGCUGUCAAGAAGCUUUGAUCCGUAGAUUUCCGAAUGGGGCAACCCAGUAUAUAGAGAUAUAUACUACCAUAAUGGAGCGAACGUAGGGAAUUGAAACAUCUUAGUACCUACAGGAAAAGAAAUCAAUAGAGAUUGCGUCAGUAGCGGCGAGCGAAAGCGCAAGAGGGCAAACCCAGUGCUUGCACUGGGGGUUGUAGGACUGCAAUGUGCAAUAGGUAAGGUUAGUAGAACACUCUGGAAAGUGUAGCCAUAGAGGGUGAUAGUCCCGUAUACGAAAACCAAACCUUAGCUAGCAGUAUCCUGAGUAGGGCGGGACACGAGGAAUCCUGUCUGAAGCUGGGUCGACCACGAUCCAACCCUAAAUACUACUACCAGACCGAUAGUGCACAAGUACCGUGAGGGAAAGGUGAAAAGAACUGAGGUGAUCAGAGUGAAAUAGAACCUGAAACCAUUUGCUUACAAUCAUUCAGAGCACUAUGUAGCAAUACAGUGUGAUGGACUGCCUUUUGCAUAAUGAGCCUGCGAGUUGUGGUGUCUGGCAAGGUUAAGCACACGCGAAGCCGUAGCGAAAGCGAGUCUGAAUAGGGCGCUUAAGUCAGAUGCUGCAGACCCGAAACGAAGUGAUCUAUCCAUGAGCAAGUUGAAGCUAGUGUAAGAACUAGUGGAGGACUGAACCGAUAGGCGUUGAAAAGCCCCCGGAUGACUUGUGGAUAGGGGUGAAAGGCCAAUCAAACUUCGUGAUAGCUGGUUCUCUCCGAAAUAUAUUUAGGUAUAGCGUUGUGUCGUAGUAUAAGGGGGUAGAGCACUGAAUGGGCUAGGGCAUACACCAAUGUACCAAACCCUAUCAAACUCCGAAUACCUUAUAUGUAAUCACAGCAGUCAGGCGGCGAGUGAUAAAAUCCGUCGUCAAGAGGGAAACAACCCAGACUACCAGCUAAGGUCCCUAAAUCUUACUUAAGUGGAAAACGAUGUGAAGUUACUUAAACAACCAGGAGGUUGGCUUAGAAGCAGCCAUCCUUU